CCGUACAGUGACUGAACUGAAGACGUCCUGAUGCAUCCUGAUCGGAUCGCUCUCCAUUCAGAAUCCAUGGGGAUAAAACUGAUCAGUUCUUUCCAGUAUUGAGCCCCUAGGACCGAACUCAGUGCCAGAAAAGAAAACACCAGUGUGAAAGUA